AAUCCUAAUUUCGGGAAUAAUUUCUUUAGUUCUUAUAUUGAGACGUUUUUCUCAAGUGUGAGUCCCUUCACCCACGAUGAUGAGCAUGGGGUGCUUCUCCCUGAGCGCGAAGCAGGUACAGAGAAGUGGUUUAAUCACUCGCUAUGUGCUUUUGGUGACCGUUCGGUGUUGCUUUUAUGGGGUUAUCAAGUGAAGGACCAUGUUCUGAGUGGU